ACCAAGGUAAGUUGAAAGUUAAGAAGUGGUCCAAAAAGUUGACUCGUUUCUAUUUUUGAGGACAGAGUUCAGUUCCUUUAAAAAACACUAUAUUUGAAAACACCCUGAGACGCAAGGUACCUAAGUAAAUCGAAAUAACUCUGCACUUCCAAUCCCACAGAUGAAGUUCCCAGUUGAAGACAUGUGGCUGUGCCCUGUGAACUUUGGUACACACUGGAUUCUUGUGGUAUGUGUUCAUUUAGUUAUUGAUUUGCGUAAUUUGUUGUGAAGCAGUUUCUUAUUCUUAAAUAGGUUUUCAGUGGCAAAAGCUAUUGUAAUUUUUAAUUUAUUAACUUUUUCUUUAGAUUGUCAACAUUUCUGCACAGAAAAUACUGCUCAUAGACCCCAUGGGGAAUGAAGGUGUUUAUGACAGGAAAAUUCUGCGCAACUGGAGGAAUUUUCUGAGGAUGAGAGGGCAUGAAGACACCAUGGAGUGGCAGUUACACACUAUGCAACACAACAAGCAACAGGAUUCCAGCAGUUGCGGAGUUUUGCUGUUAAAGUUUGCAGAACACUACCUUGCUUUUGGAGAGGUCAGUGAAGUAUUAACCACUACAGAAGCAGUUGUGCUGGAGCGAAUGCAGAUAGCUUGCACCCUACUUGAACAUCGAGGGAACGCUGAGGACUACUGCAUUGUUUGCUCUAUGUUAGAUGCUGACGCUGAUCGCAGCAUGAUUGAAAUGGUGCAGUGUGAAUCUUGCCAAAGAUGGGCACAUUUUGCAUGUGCAAAAUAUAAAGACAGCAACCAAGAAUAUAAAUGCAAAAAAUGUAGGAAAACACAUAACAACUUCUAAUAAAAACAGCUGUCUUUUCCCCUCCAUGUCUCUUUGCAUUCUUUGUCAACAUUAGAUGAUUGUGU
ensembl:lncRNA